rnacentral:rRNA from 1 species
CGUAGGGUGCGAGCGUUAAUCGGAAUUACUGGGCGUAAAGCGUGCGCAGGCGGUUUGGUAAGACAGAUGUGAAAUCCCCGGGCUUAACCUGGGAAUUGCAUUUGUGACUGCCCGGCUAGAGUGUGUCAGAGGGGGGUAGAAUUCCACGUGUAGCAGUGAAAUGCGUAGAUAUGUGGAGGAAUACCGAUGGCGAAGGCAGCCCCCUGGGAUAACACUGACGCUCAUGCACGAAAGCGUGGGGAGCAAACAGGAUUAGAUACCCUGGUAGUCCACGCCCUAAACGAUGUCUACUAGUUGUCGGGUCUUAAUUGACUUGGUAACGCAGCUAACGCGUGAAGUAGACCGCCUGGGGAGUACGGUCGCAAGAUUA